rnacentral:rRNA from 1 species
GAUGAACGCUGACAGAAUGCUUAACGCAUGCAAGUCGAUGGGGAAGUGGUGCUUGCACCAUGGCAACCAUGGCGGACGGGUGAGUAACGCGUAAGGGACUUACCUGCAGGACUGGGAUAACAGGGGGAAACUCCUGACAAGACCGGAUAAUGUCAUGGAGCUGCCUGGCUUUAUGAUGAAAGGAGACGCCUGCGGAGAGCCUUGCGUCCUAUUAGCUAGUUGGUGAGGUAAUGGCUCACCAAGGCGAAGAUAGGUAGCCGGCCUGAGAGGGUGGACGGCCACAAGGGGACUGAGAUACGGCCCUUACUCCUACGGGAGGCAGCAGUGGAGAAUAUUGGAAAAUGGGGGCAACCCUGAUCCAGCAAUUCUGUGUGCACGAAGAAGGUUUUCGGAUUGUAAAGUGCUUUCAGCAGGGAAGAAGUAAGUGACGGUACCUGCAGAAGAAGCGACGGCUAAAUACGUG